GGUUUGCAUGCAGACGUAUCUGCAUCUGAUGUUGAGAAGACCCUCAAUCUGCCUGCCAGUCCUCGUCUGAUUUUGCUGGGUAUGGCAGAGCCGGCAAAUGCUGUAUGGUAGAUGAUAAGCCUAGAGGGCUGUGUUAUUUGUGAGUGUGUCCAGUCAACAUUUUUGACUGCAGUUGCAACAGUGUUUGCUGUG